rnacentral:lncRNA from 1 species
CAGAAGUCAGGUCGGAUUAAGCCAUAGUACGGAAAAAACUAUGCUACCUGUGAGCCCCGUCCAAGGACGUAAAAAGAAGUCAGGCCACUACAAGUGCCAUAGCUUGAGUAAACUAUGCAGCCUGUAGCUCCACCUGAGGAGA